UUGCCUCAAAUUAAUGAGUAAGGAUAAUAACUUCAUUGGGUGACGCCAAUGACAUUAUGGUAGAUAUUCUUUUGUCUAUCAUAAACUAUAUUUUAAUUUUUGAAGGGUAUAGGCUGGCCGAGUAGCGGGAUGCUUUAUUCUCUUCAUAAAGUGACCUGCUUUUGUUGUUGGUCUCC
rnacentral:snRNA from 1 species